rnacentral:pre_miRNA from 1 species
CCCUCCCACCGGAUCUGGCGGAGGGGAGGACGAGGCCACCACUGCCACCUCCCCUCCCGCCAGAUCUGGCGGAGAGA